GAUGAACGCUGGCUACAGGCUUAACACAUGCAAGUCGAGGGGAAACGCCGUGGAAGCUUGCUUUUUCGGGCGCCGAGCGGCGCACGGGUGAGUAAAACGUAUCCAACCUCUCUCUGACUGAGGGAUAACACGUCGAAAGUGUGCGAAUAACGCCCAGUCACCUCCUGCGGACGCAUAACGACGGGUAAAGAUUUCUUCGGGUAGGGGCGGGGAUGCGGUUGAUUAGCUUGUUGGCGGGGUAACGGCCCACCAAGGGCACGAUCAGUAGGGGUUCUGAGAGGAAGGUCCCCCACAUUGGAACUGAGACACGGUCCAAACUCCUACGGGAGGCAGCAGUGAGGAAUAUUGGUCAAUGGGCGGGAGCCUGAACCAGCCAAGUAGCGUGCAGGAUGACGGCCCUAUGGGUUGUAAACUGCUUUUAUACGGGAAUAAAGUGGGGGACGGGUGCUUUAUUGCAGGUACCGAAUGAAUAAGGACCGGCUAAUUCCGUG
rnacentral:rRNA from 1 species